GAUGAACGCUGGCGGCGUGCCUAAUACAUGCAAGUCGAGCGAACAGACGAGGAGCUUGCUCCUCUGACGUUAGCGGCGGACGGGUGAGUAACACGUGGAUAACCUACCUAUAAGACUGGGAUAACUUCGGGAAACCGGAGCUAAUACCGGAUAAUAUAUUGAACCGCAUGGUUCAAUAGUGAAAGACGGUUUUGCUGUCACUUAUAGAUGGAUCCGCGCCGCAUUAGCUAGUUGGUAAGGUAACGGCUUACCAAGGCAACGAUGCGUAGCCGACCUGAGAGGGUGAUCGGCCACACUGGAACUGAGAUACGGUCCAGACUCCUACGGGAGGCAGCAGUAGGGAAUCUUCCGCAAAGGGCGAAAGCCUGACGGAGCAACGCCGCGUGAGUGAUGAAGGUCUUCGGAUCGUAAAACUCUGUUAUUAGGGAAGAACAAAUGUGUAAGUAACUAUGCACGUCUUGACGGUACCUAAUCAGAAAGCCACGGCUAACUACGUG
rnacentral:rRNA from 1 species